CCUUUAAGCCACAUCGACUCAAAUUCGUUUUGCUUUAUCUUUUUGGGAAAGUUGACGGACGCAUUUCUGUAUCGCUCAAAGAUAUCAGGCAAAACAUUAGUCAAAUGUGAUCUUGGAA